rnacentral:lncRNA from 1 species
UUAUCAACUUUAAACAUGGUAUUUAAUUUCGAUCCCAAUAAUUUUGGGAUUGCUUCCUACUGAGAGUGGUUUUUGAAAUCAAGCGCUUGAGAUAAAACAAAAAAAAUCCAGAGCCAUUAAUUUUAAGUCCAGCGCUGCAGAUUUCAAAUCCAUCCACUGCUAAAGAUUUAAAAUCAAGCAAUUGAGAUACAAAGUCGUGCGCUGUGUAGAUAUAAAGUCGACCACUGGAUUUGUUACAUCCUGAGCGCUUGAGCUGAAAUGUUAAGAUGUGUACUUUAGAUCUUCAGCGCUUGACUUUAAAUCUUUGAAUCUGUACGAACUCUUUUCACUAAAAAUCUUAAGUGUUACAUGCAUCUUACAUGUAAGUCUAAAAUAUUCCUUAACAAUUCAACUAAACAUUUUUGUCGUAAGAUUAAUU